GCCGAGGUGACGGAACUGGUAGACGUAGUAGACUCAAAAUCUACCGAGGGUAACCUCGUGGGGGUUCGAGUCCCCCUCUCGGCA
rnacentral:tRNA from 1 species